GGCUGUGACCCAUAACAGUGCCCACAUAACGGAGGAGCCACCAGACCCCUUGGCUAUGCCUGCCGUAGUGCAACGUGUAAUCUGGAUGGUCGGGUCUGGUACACCUAGGAAAUGUAUACAUUGGCAACGAUAACUGGGGCCUGCUCCAGUGCCAUCGCUGGGAUUCCCUGUUCUGCAAAAAACUGGCAUAACUGAUGUGGGGAGCCCUGGCGCUCGGCGUAGGAGCGUCACAGGGGCUCCUUGUCGGUGCUUGAAGGACGGCAAUGCUGUUGAGAAGCCGACAUUGAGCCCCGAUAAAUUGGAAGCUGUGGGUAGUUACCGCAUUAUUGACUUGGAAACCAGUGAGGUCUGGAUGCAAGUGAAGCUACCGAGGGAGGCAUGUGUGCAUCACUUGUGCUGCUGGCCAUCCUCUGCAAAAGUGAUGGCUGGCUGUCAGUGCUUGGAUGACUUUCUGUUACUCUACGCCUUGGGCUGUGUUGACUACUUCACACUUGCUGCCAUGUCUGCAAGCUUAGGCAAAAAGACCGGCUGGAUGCUUGGCAGGAGAUAGUAUCCAACCGCAGUGUUACUGUG